UACCAGCACCCCGAGUGGUCGGUACGAUUAUUGGGCCUAAAGCAUCCGUAGCCGGUCCUGCAAGUCUUCUGUUAAAUCCAGCUGCUCAACAGAUGGGCUGCGGGGGAUACUACAGGGCUAGGAGGCGGGAGAGGCAAGCGGUACUUUAUGGGUAGGGGUAAAAUCCGUUGAUCCAUAGAAGACCACCAGUGGCGAAGGCGGCUUGCCAGAACGCGCUCGACGGUGAGGGAUGAAAGCUGGGGGAGCAAACCGG
rnacentral:rRNA from 1 species